rnacentral:lncRNA from 1 species
GAAAAACAUUCUAUGCAGAAACGUCUUCCUCUUUGAAUGCACGGAUGUGAUAAAGUUGCCAAAAAAGUAGCCUAUUUAUGAGAACUGUCCACAGUGGAUGUUGUGUGCGUUGAUACAACCUAUAAUGCAAAAGUGAACUGACUCACUAGGACUAGUGUGCUCCUCUGUGCGACAGUUCACUAUCGGACGCUGCUCCAAUGCCCUGGAUCACAGCGUCUGUCUCCUCGCAGGACCCGUCGGCUCUACCCACAGUUCCCCGCGCUCAGACAAGAUGGAGGAAAGCAGCAGCUGCGGGAGAACAAUGUUUGGACUCUGAACGUUAAAAGAAACGACCGAGGGGGGAAAUACAAACACGGAGAGACAACGGCGGACAUGCACUGGAUGAGUGAGGUGGCCUUGCAUUGAAGCAGACCCUAUCGCCCUCUGUUCCAGCAUCAGCAUCAGUGUGAUAACACUCUGAGCCUUGCCCCUUCAACAUGAGCCUGAUCCAGGACAAAUUUGGCAAUGAGUUCCUCCGCUCCAACGGUGGCAUGGAGCCAGGCUUCGGUCCGGGCAUGCUCAUGUUCAGCCACCUGCCCCCGAUUUAAUGGGUAGUCAGAGUGUC